UGCUGCGGUGGCUGCAUUAGCGGCGGGAUUCGCAAGAAACUACUGAAGUUCCUGUGGAACCAAAGUAAAAUUGUAUAAGAACAUAAUGGAUGGAGAGGAGAAAACCUAUGGUGGCUGUGAAGGCCCUGAUGCCAUGUAUGUCAAGUUAAUAUCUUCUGAUGGUCACAAAGUUAUUGUAAAAAGAGAGCAUGUACUAACAUCAGGAACAAUAAAAGCCAUAUUGAGUGGCCCGGGUCACUUUGCUGAGAAUGAAACCAAUGAGGUCAAUUUUAGAGAGAUCCCUUCACAUGUGCUAUCAAAAAAGUAUGCAUGUAUUUUACCUACACUGACAGCCCCACCGAGAUUCCUGAAUUCCCAAUUGCACCUGAAAUUGCACUGGCACUGCUGAUGGCUGCGAACUUCCUAGAUUGUUAAAUAAAAUAUAACAAACUGUUAAUUUUUCAGUAUUUAAUGCCUGUAUUUCAGUUAGUAAUUUUUCAGUUAGCAUGUUUCCCGUAUGCAAUUGAAUUAUAAAGUUAAUUGCAAAGCAGAUUAUGUUCUGUUCUUUUGCAUAGCAAUCAGAGCUGAAAUUUGCUUGCUAUAUUGACAAGUUAAGGACAUUUUCACAAACUAAGAAAUAAACAAAUAAUGACAAUUCAUAGGUCGUUUUGUUUAUCCUUUGGAUGUGACUUUUAAAAUAAAACAAUCAUAUAAAUACUGAAAUGUAGGCAUAAAUGAACAUGUCCUACCGAUAAAUAAUGAGGCUAAGUAUUUUUAUGUUUUUAGUGUUUUUUAAAGUAUUUUGAUCUUAUAGCUGCUUCUUCUAGCAUUACUAGAGUUAUACAAAUAAUUACAUGAAAAGCUUGUUUAUAACUUAGCCAAAUCAUUGAUUUUUAUAACUCAAAGGAUAAGAGUUGAAAUUUCUUAUGUUUUUUUUGAUAAACUGC